UCCAGGCGUACCAGAAGUUUCAGAAGUGCUAGGUGUGCCAAUAGUGCCAGGAGUGCCAGAUGUACCACUAGUGCCUGGACUGCCAGGGGUGCCUGGAGUGCCAGGGGUGCCAGGAGUGCCAGGGGUGCCAGGUGUGCCGGGACUUCCAGAUGUGUCAGGAGUUCCAGAUGUGCCAGGAAUUCCAGGCGUACCAGGAGUUUCAGGAGUGCUAGGUGUGCCAAUAGUGCCAGGAGUGCCAGGGGUGCCAGGAGUGCCAGGGGUGCCAGGAGUGCCAGGAGUGCCAGGUGUGCCGGGACUUCCAGAUGUGCCAGGAGUUCCAGGCGUACCAGGAGUUUCAGGAGUGCUAGGUGUGCCAAUA